rnacentral:rRNA from 1 species
CACCGCCGCGGUAAUACAGAGGGUGCGAGCGUUAAUCGGAUUUACUGGGCGUAAAGCGUGCGUAGGCGGCUUUUUAAGUCGGAUGUGAAAUCCCUGAGCUUAACUUAGGAAUUGCAUUCGAUACUGGGAAGCUAGAGUAUGGGAGAGGAUGGUAGAAUUCCAGGUGUAGCGGUGAAAUGCGUAGAGAUCUGGAGGAAUACCGAUGGCGAAGGCAGCCAUCUGGCCUAAUACUGACGCUGAGGUACGAAAGCAUGGGGAGCAAACAGGAUUAGAUACCCCAGUAGUCCCUGUCUCUUAUACA